rnacentral:rRNA from 1 species
UGUGUGUGACUUAUAUGUUUUACCCUGGAUCUCAACGAUUCGGUGCAUGAAAUUUUGUUGCAUAGAGAAAAUUGAAAACAUACUCCUUGACUUUAUUCAAUUAGCUUUUCCAUGUUCCAAGCAACGUAAGAAAUUGAACGUUAAUGCAGCAGUCGUAUUUAGGACUACCACGGUUGCAACGAGUAACGAAGAAUCAGGGUUCGAUUUCGCAGAGGGAGCCUGAGAAACGACAACCACAUCGAAGGAAGGCA